rnacentral:siRNA from 1 species
GAGUGGCGACCUUGUGCUUUACC